rnacentral:rRNA from 1 species
UGGGGAAUAUUGCACAAUGGGCGAAAGCCUGAUGCAGCAACGCCGCGUGAGUGAUGAAGGCCUUCGGGUUGUAAAGCUCUGUCUUCUGGGACGAUAAUGACGGUACCAGAGGAGGAAGCCACGGCUAACUACGUGCCAGCAGCCGCGGUAAUACGUAGGUGGCAAGCGUUGUCCGGAUUUACUGGGCGUAAAGGAUGCGUAGGCGGAUACUUAAGUCAGAUGUGAAAAUCCCGGGCUUAACUUGGGAACUGCAUUUGAAACUGGGUAUCUAGAGUGCGGGAGAGGAAAGUGGAAUUCCUAGUGUAGCGGUGAAAUGCGUAGAGAUUAGGAAGAACACCAGUGGCGAAGGCGACUUUCUGGACCGUAACUGACGCUGAGGCAUGAAAGCGUGGGGAGCAAA